AACGAACGCUGGCGGCAGGCCUAACACAUGCAAGUCGAACGAAGUCUUCGGACUUAGUGGCGGACGGGUGAGUAACACGUGGGAACGUGCCUUUAGGUUCGGAAUAACUCAGGGAAACUUGUGCUAAUACCGAAUGUGCCCUUCGGGGGAAAGAUUUAUCGCCUUUAGAGCGGCCCGCGUCUGAUUAGCUAGUUGGUGAGGUAAAGGCUCACCAAGGCUACGAUCAGUAGCUGGUCUGAGAGGAUGACCAGCCACAUUGGGACUGAGACACGGCCCAAACUCCUACGGGAGGCAGGAGUGGGGAAUCUUGCGCAAUGGGCGAAAGCCUGACGCAGCCAUGCCGCGUGGAUGAUGAAGGUCUUAGGAUUGUAAAAUCCUUUCACCGGUGAAGAUAAUGACUGUAGCCGGAGAAGAAGCCCCGGCUAACUUCGUGCCAGCAGCCGCAGUAAUAC
rnacentral:rRNA from 1 species